CUUCAGCUGCAGAUUCAGCAGCACCAAGCUACAGAACAAAAACUCACAGAAAGCAGAUCAGAAUGCCUACAGCUGCAGGCAUUACUUCAUCAACUAGAGGAGAAAUUACUUAUCGGCUCCCAGUCCGUACAGCAGCACAUUGCAAAAGAACUUAGUGAGGAGAGUGAAAAAUUAAGGCAAGUCCUCAAGGAAAAAGAGCUUUCAGCUGAUGAGGACAAAUAUUUACGUGACAAGAUGUCAGAAGAUUGUGGGCAUCUGACAAGGGAAAAUGGCCUCUUACAAGCUCAAGUGCUGAAAGCAACUAGGCAGCUGAGCAGAGAGAAACAGCUGAGAGAGGAUGAGAGCACGUCCCAUUCAAGAAGAGCAUUUGAGCUAGCAUCAGGGAGAGAGAGAGAAUGGCAAUUAGAGAGGGAGCUUACCUACUUGAAGACACAACUACAGAACGAAAGAGAGAGAGUUUCCAAGGUCCAGGAGCAGGAAGCCUGUGAUGCUACAGUACUUCACCUCCAGCAAGAAAGGAAAUCUAUGGAUCAGAAAGGGCAGCUGCUUCAGUCGCAGCUAAUAGAUUUGGAAAAGAGACGUGGCAAAAUUCAACUGGAAAAUUCCAAGCUGCAAAGAGAAAAGACUCAUUUGGUAGAGCACAUUGCUCACUUGCAUAAAGAGGUAAGUUUAUCUGUGCACUUCUCAAACAGCAUUUAUUUUUUAGCCUGCACUCCCAGUACAAGUGAGCUUCCACCUCCACCUCCAUCUAAUUCUUCAUGCAACACAUGCACUGGCACAAAAUAGGGGAAUGGCCAUUGACCUCAGGCCACAACUGAGACCAUUUUGUGAGGCGUGUGAUUGUAUUUCCUAGCAGCUGGGCGGGUGGGGGGGGUAGAAUCAGAAUUGAGACUGUGGUGCAUCACAGUGUGUUUAAUAACCCUUUCUCUGCUGCACUCCUGACAAAAUCUCCCACCUAACUGCUGUUUUUGCCAGGGAAGGAAAGCUACUAUUGAUACCAUUGCAACUGCAUUAUAUCAGGGGCAGGGAGAGCAUCUAUUAUGUCCCUUUAAAAAGCCCACAUUUGUAUACCACCUUUAAAGAAGGUACCAAACUUUUCAAAGCAAUUUACAAAAUAAAAAUAUAAAACAGCAUGGACGUAGGGGGACCCUGGACUUUUGUUGGGGGGACAGAACCAACAUGAUUAGUUAUUUCUAUUCUUUUACUUGAUGGGGGGCAGCUGCUCCCUGCCCCCCCCUUGGCUACACCCAUGUGAAACAGUGCUAUAUAUCAGCAUUAGGUACAUUCUAAAUAAAAAUAUAGGUGAGAGUUAAAACUAGAAGUGUGGAAUAUAAAACUAGCAGGCAGACCAGACAUGUGAGAGCUCUCCUUGCUUUGAGUAUAGAAUUUGAUAACAUCAUCAUUUUUAUUUAUUAAAUUUGUAUACUGCCCUUCAUCUGAAGAUCCCAGGGUGGUUCACAACAGAAAAAUACAAAAUGAAAGCCCCCAAUACAUAAAACAAAAACAAACCAAUAACCACCCCCCCACACAUUUAAAAAGCCUUAGGAUAUUAAUGUAGUUUAUACUUACAGUUGCAAAAUGUAAGUGAACCUUUGGUGGAAAUGCAAAAUAAAAGGACAAAGACAAUCUCAUUGUGGAGGAGAGGCAAGGAGCUGACAUGUGACUUUAUCAAGGAUUCUCCCAGCCUACUGAUAAUGUAACAACCUCCAGGUGUGAGUGCUUGUUAGGAAGCUGCUGUAAUUUAUUCACUUUGGAGGACAUUUACCAAAUUGUGAGACUGUGUGCAAGCAAAGGAGCAAGAGAAGAACUUGCCAAGUCACGGCUUGCUGCUGUUAUUAAAGCACUGCAUUUGUAUUUGUGCACUUGCCAGGACAGCUUAUUUUAGCCAUAUAAAACCAGCAUCAAUUAAAGGGCUCCAACCACUUGGACGCGGGUGGCGCUGUGGGUAAAAGCCUCAGCGCCUAGGGCUUGCCGAUCGAAAGGUCGGCGGUUCGAAUCCCCGCGGCGGGGUGCGCUCCCGUCGUUCGGUCCCAGCGCCUGCCAACCUAGCAGUUCGAAAGCACCCCCGGGUGCAAGUAGAUAAAUAGGGACCGCUUACAAGCGGGAAGGUAAACGGCGUUUCCGUGUGCGGCUCUGGCUCGCCAGAGCAGCGAUGUCACGCUGGCCACGUGACCCGGAAGUGUCUCCGGACAGCGCUGGCCCACGGCCUAUAGAGUGAGAUGGGCGCACAACCCUAGAGUCUGGCAAGACUAGCCCGUACGGGCAGGGGUAC
rnacentral:lncRNA from 1 species